UUGAUGUGUUCUGACUGUGUCUUGGC
rnacentral:piRNA from 1 species